rnacentral:sRNA from 1 species
AGAAAAGUAACCGCCGCCCCGCGCAGGGGCGACGCUAAUAGACCGACACGAUCCCAGGUGCUUCACGCCCAACGCAGGCGGACCACCCAAACCGCCA